ACGUAGGUGGCAAGCGUUGUCCGGAAUUAUUGGGCGUAAAGCGCGCGCAGGCGGUCCCUUAAGUCUGAUGUGAAAGCCCACGGCUCAACCGUGGAGGGUCAUUGGAAACUGGGGGACUUGAGUGCAGAAGAGGAAAGUGGAAUUCCAUGUGUAGCGGUGAAAUGCGUAGAGAUGUGGAGGAACACCAGUGGCGAAGGCGACUUUCUGGUCUGUAACUGACGCUGAGGCGCGAAAGCGUGGGGAGCAAACAGGAUUAGAUACCCUGGUAGUCCACGCCGUAAACGAUGAGUGCUAAGUGUUAGGGGGUUUCCGCCCCUUAGUGCUGCAGCUAACGCAUUAAGCACUCCGCCUGGGGAGUACGGCCGCAAGGCUG
rnacentral:rRNA from 1 species